GCGCGAAAACUUUGCAAUGUGCGAAAGCACGACAAGGUUAAUCCGAGUGGUUCCUGCUAAAGGAAUCUUUUGUCGGUCACAAAACCACCGACGAAUAAGGGGUGGGCAAGUUCUGGUGUCAGCCGCCGCGGUAAAACCAGCACCUCAAGUGGUCAGGGGGAUUAUUGGGCCUAAAGCAUCCGUAGCCGGCUGUGCCAGUCUUCGGUUAAAUCCAUGUGCUCAACGCAUGGGCUGCCGGAGAUACUGCACAGCUAGGGAGUGGGAGAGGUAGACGGUACUUGGUAGGAAGGGGUAAAAUCCUUUAAUCUACUGAUGACCACCUGUGGCGAAGGCGGUCUACUAGAACACGUUCGACGGUGAGGGAUGAAAGCUGGGGGAGCAAACCGGAUUAGAUACCCGGGUAGUCCCAGCUGUAAACAAUGCAAACUCAGUGAUGCACUGGCUUGUGGCCAGUGCAGUGCCGCAGGGAAGCCGUUAAGUUUGCCGCCUGGGAAGUACGUACGCAAGUAUGAAACUUAA
rnacentral:rRNA from 1 species